GUCCAGGUGCUAUGCAAGAAAUUGCUAUCCAACCCCGUCAGGUUCGGAAGAAAGCAGCGGCAGAUUGACAGUUUCUGUGCCGUAGAUUACCUGGGCUCU
rnacentral:SRP_RNA from 1 species